ensembl:snoRNA Gm23245 small nucleolar RNA SNORA22
UUGCACAGUGAACACCCAAGUGUGCUUUGUCUGUGGUUCCCUUGGCCUUGACUCUGUGCUAGAGUAAAGUCUGUUCGUUUCCUCUGCAUUGAAAGGAGUACUGUGUCCUUUUAAAUGUAUUCAGAAAAUCAGCACAUCA